rnacentral:rRNA from 1 species
AAUAGAUACCCGGGUAGUCCACCCCGUAAACGUUGGGAACUAGUUGUGGGGUCCAUUCCACGGAUUCCGUGACGCAGCUAACGCAUUAAGUUCCCCGCCUGGGGAGUACGGCCGCAAGGCUAAAACUCAAAGGAAUUGACGGGGACCCGCACAAGCGGCGGAGCAUGCGGAUUAAUUCGAUGCAACGCGAAGAACCUUACCAAGGCUUGACAUAUAGAGGAAACGUCUGGAAACAGUCGCCCCGCAAGGUCUCUAUACAGGUGGUGCAUGGUUGUCGUCAGCUCGUGUCGUGAGAUGUUGGGUUAAGUCCCGCAACGAGCGCAACCCUCGUUCUAUGUUGCCAGCACGUAAUGGUGGGAACUCAUGGGAUACUGCCGGGGUCAACUCGGAGGAAGGUGGGAUGACGUCAAAUCAUCAUGCCCCUUAUGUCUUGGGCUUCACGCAUGCUACAAUGGCCGGUACAAAGGGCUGCAAUACCGUGAGGUGGAGCGAAUCCCAAAAAGCCGGUCCAGUUCGGAUUGAGGUCUGCAACUCGA